rnacentral:lncRNA from 1 species
GCUGAGCUAUGCUUUAGAUUGGUGAAUUUUUGUGCUUAUUGGUGACUGUUGUGACUGUUUCAGGAGACAAACAGUGGAGCUAAAGCUGACUGUAUUCGUGUAGAGUCUGAUGGUGUCUCUGGUAAUGAUGUCCACUCCACCCAACAUCCAGAGACUAAGUCUUCGGGCUGCAAUCAGAUCUUGAAGCCGAGAUGGAACCAUCUGCAGAGCAAACCUCAAAACCCUGAGCAGUCACCAACAGAACCAACCAGUACCACAUCAGUUCCCAAAGCUGUUAAGGUUGUUAAGAAGAAGAAAUGGGAGACUGAUGAGGUAAAAGCAAUUGAAAAACAUUUGAAUAGAUUCAUCAAGGCCUG